rnacentral:rRNA from 1 species
UACGAAGGGGGCUAGCGUUGUUCGGAAUUACUGGGCGUAAAGCGCACGUAGGCGGAUCGAUCAGUCAGACGUGAAAUCCCUCGGCUCAACCGAGGAACUGCGUCUGAUACUGGAAGGCUUGAAUCCGGGAGAGGGAUGUGGAAUUCCAGGUGUAGCGGUGAAAUGCGUAGAUAUCUGGAGGAACACCGGUGGCGAAGGCGGCAUCCUGGACCGGUAUUGACGCUGAGGCGCGAAAGCUAGGGGAGCAAGCGGG